UACGUAGGGUGCAAGCGUUGUCCGGAAUUAUUGGGCGUAAAGAGCUCGUAGGCGGUCUGUCGCGUCGGAUGUGAAAAUCCAGGGCUUAACCCUGGGCCUGCAUUCGAUACGGGCAGACUAGAGUUCGGUAGGGGAGACUGGAAUUCCUGGUGUAGCGGUGAAAUGCGCAGAUAUCAGGAAGAACACCAAUGGCGAAGGCAGCUCUCUGGGACGGUACUGACGCUGAGACGCGAAAGCGUGGGGAGCGAACAGGAUUAGAUACCGAG
rnacentral:rRNA from 1 species